GGAGGAGUGGCCGAGUGGUUUAAGGCACUAGUCUUGAAAGCUAGCAAUGUGAAAGCAUUCUAGAGUUCGAAUCUCUACUCCUCCA
rnacentral:tRNA from 1 species